GCUGCGGUGGUUCAGUGGUAGAAUUCUCGCCUCCAAUGUGAGAGACCCAGGUUCAAUACCAGCCAGUGCA
rnacentral:tRNA from 1 species